UACGGGGGGAGCAAGCGUUGUUCGGAUUUACUGGGCGUAAAGAGCUCGUAGGCGGCUUGUCGCGUCGACUGUGAAAACCCGCGGCUCAACCGCGGGCCUGCAGCCGAUACGGGCAGGCUAGAGUUCGGUAGGGGAGACUGGAAUUCCUGGUGUAGCGGUGAAAUGCGCAGAUAUCGGGAAGAACACCCGUGGCGAAGGCGGUUCUCUGGGACGGUACUGACGCUGAGACGCGAAAGCGUGGGGAGCGAACAGG
rnacentral:rRNA from 1 species